AUGCGGAGGAUCCGAGCGUUAUCCGGAUUUAUUGGGUUUAAAGGGUGCGCAGGCGGCCAUUUAAGUCAGCGGUUAAAUCGUGGGGCUCAACCCCAUUCUGCCGUUGAUACUGGGUGGCUUGAUUGCGGUCGAGGUUGGCGGAAUUCGUUGUGUAGCGGUGAAAUGCAUAGAUAUGACGAAGAACACCGAUUGCGUAGGCAGCUGACCAGACCGCAAAUGACGCUCAUGCACGAAAGUGCGGGGAUCGAACAGGAUUAGAUACCCUGGUAGUCCGCACAGUAAACGAUGAAUACUUGUUUUCGGCGAUAUAAUGUCGGAGGCAAAGCGAAAGCGAUAAGUAUUCCACCUGGGGAGUACGCCGGCAACGGUGAAACUCAAAUGAAUUGACGGGG
rnacentral:rRNA from 1 species